UGUUGGGAGCGGUAAACAAUACAAGAGGGACAUUUCCUGACCAUAACUGGCUCUCUAGAACAGCAGAACAGUUAACAGUGCCCUGUGGAAAUGGUCACUGGUGAUAGGUCAGUGUGUGAUAAACAGGAGCACAAUACCCUCAACCCAGGAGAGUGACUCCGAGAAUGGAUUCUAUGACAAUUCACUUCCUCACUGCAUUCCUGCCACCCCCAGAAGAGGAAUACUACCUUCCCGGAGAUCUGUGUCCUCCCCGAGCGAUCUAAAACAAACAAUCCCAGAAGUGCCCCUGAGGCUCAGGCAGAGUCAUUUCAUACACCUCUUGGAAACAGGAUUCCUGAAUGCCAGAGACAAAUCAAAAGGAUUUUAUUUCCUGGUUGGUUGUCUGAGGGAAUCAUGGAGGGAUUUAGCCAACUGAAAAAAAAAACUUGUUUCAAAGAAUGAGCACUGCACACCUGCCUCCAAGAAACCGCAAAUAGUUCUGCUCCGCUGCUGACGCACUGUACAUAAGGAAGCAAGUUUCUCCUGCUUGCAUUCCGCCCAAGGUUCAGAUGACAGCUUACAGAACGGCUGCAUCCAUGGUGAUGUAAACCCAUGCCAGAAACGCCCUGUUCCCUAUGCCCAAAAAACACCUAGCUAGUUCCAGAGGCAUCGUCCCAGCUCGAUCCACACACCCUCUACAAAUACAAACCAAAGGUAGCACCUGAGCGGGGAGCUCUCCUGUCUAUGUACUGUCUGCGUCUGUCUCUACUUCAUGCCAAGCUUUAGAUGUUACCGGUGUCAUUGGAAUAAAAGUAUUUCUAAUAAAAUUUCAAACAGGAGCAAGAAGGCAGAUUUUAAUUCGGUAUUUUUAAAGGCAAUUUCCGUAAUAAGUUUUCUGCAAUUAAGUUGCCACAUUAGGAUAUUUCUGUGAACAGUAUACUUAGAAAGUGAGAAAACUCCAUAAAAAUGCCGAUAAGAACUAUUUCUAAAGACGUUGCUGCACAGAUAAAUGCUCCUCACGGCUGACUCCUU